UUCCUCCUUAAUUUCUUUAAAGCCCUAAUUUUAUUAAGUGUAAGAAGCAGGCCACCGGAUGCUCAGCUGCAGCGUCGGAUUUUGAUAGGAAGUGUGAGGACGCUGCUCCCCCGACGAUGUGGUGGCCAUAGUUUGCGUCGAUAUCGGAAAUCCAUUGGCUGACGAUGGUCGGUUUGUCUGUGAAAGUUGUGUGAAAGUCAUAGGGCAGCUGAUGGUCGUAAACUUGGAAAGGAUUGUUGUUGUUCGCCAUAGCCACCAUUUGUCAGAAUCUGAAAGCUCACUAAGUAGAAAAGUUUCCCAAAUCGGUAAGUGUUCCUUUACUUCAAGGAGGACGACACCGAAGCUGUAGACAUCGCUCUUCUCGUCCACUUUCAAAGUGUAUGCGUAUUGUGCAGUAGCGCGUAAUAUCAAAGGUGUGCCAAGAAUUUAUAGCGGAAGACCAUUAAUAUGCAUGCUUUGUAGACUAUGGGUUGUAUUUUGUUACCACUAAAGAGAGAUCUGAAUUGGUUGAUUCUGGUACAGCUCAAUUGUAUGGUACACAACUAGACAUGUGACACAAUUUAUUUUUCUUUGCAAAAGCAAUUGUUCCUUGGCAUUCUGAUUUCUGUUUGGUCGUGUGAUGAUGAUAAUCAAAGUCACAUAAAGCAAGAGGGAUUUCCAAAAGGUAAUAUGGAUGAGAAGGACUUGCUCUAUGCAUCACGACAGGAUUUAUAUAGGGUUGAGAGGACCUAAUUAAUUAAUUAAUUAUUGCUAUUUUAUUUAUAUUGGUCUAAUAUUUUAAUUGCGAAUAAAAAUAUUGACACGUGUUUUAUUGUAAUGCUUAUAAAAAAGAAAUGAUAAUUAUUUAGCAUUUUGAAUUUUAUAUUUAUAUUAUAUCUAAGCCUUAGCAUCGCACUAGGCGGGCCGGCUCAGUAAAACUGACUCCUUAGUUCGAUGUGGCAGUAAUAUUCCAAUUUGAGGCAAUCGGGAUGUUACAUCCGCCUUCAACGAUCUUUUCAAGAAUUGAGUCUAUGGCAUGUUGGACUAAACUGGAAAUAGUCAUUUGAAACUUUUGGGCUCGGCUCCGAGUUAUUGGUUCGGUUUGUGUGAUGGUCACGUCAGUUUAGGGGUUUGGAU